rnacentral:lncRNA from 1 species
GUGGGGCACUUUUAAUAAGGAGAGAAAGAUAGAGAAUGAAGAAUAAAUAUUAUAUUAUUAAAUUAUAAUUGUGUUACAAAACUGAAUUACAAAGUAUUUAUUUAUAUAUAAUUAAAUGACUUGACUACCGAGUAACAAAUAUAACAAUACUACUAAGUAACAAAUAUAACAAUCUUAAACUCUAAUUAACUUUGAAUUUAAACCUUACCCAACUUAAAUUAUAUCACAACAUUCUCAUAAACCGUUUUGAAGUGCUCCUCCAACUUACGUCCAAGUCCAACAUAUUUCGGACAAGGUUAAAUUUCUACUCUUCACUUUAUACACAACAUUAACAGGCAUACUUAGUAUUUGCAUUUAAGAGAAUUGAUAAACAAAAGCUUCAAUGAAAGAGAACCAAACCGAAUAUGUCCCCAUCGUCGUACAAAAUUAAGCCUCUAUCCAAUCAUGGUUGCACUUUGUGUUACAUAAACGUGACCACAAAAUAUUUGUUUUCAAAGGGUAUAUUUGUUCAUAAACCUAAGUCAAAUGUACUAUUGUUUCGAUAUAAUUGAUAAGUAUAUUAAUACAAAUCAAGUACAGUAUAUGAUUGUAAACUUUGAGUUGAAAUAAAAAUAUUUUGUACUUGAUUUGUUUUCUGAAAAUCUAACAAUACCAUGUGUUAGAUUCGUAGCCUAUAAGUAGGAUAAAUCUUUACUAGUAUAUAUACUUAUUGAUGUAUAACUUUAAUACAGUUUGGAAGAGAAUUGUGUGUACAUGAAGCUCUCUUAUAUAAUUUACUUUUUCAGAUCACUUCAGCUUUUUCCUUCAAAAUAGCUUAAAUUCCUCUUCUCCUUGGCUAUAAGUUGC